AUGUUCUCUGUUGCUCUCCUGCUGAUGGCUGCUGGAUGCUAUGUGAGCAGUGAAACUCUGACUCAGCCAGCAUCUUUAACUGUGCAGCCAGGUCAACGUCUGACCAUCAGAUGUCAGGUCUCUUAUUCACUGAGCAGCUACAACACAGCUUGGAUCAGACAGGCUGCUGGAAAAGGACUGGAAUGGAUUGGAAUGAAACAUACUGGAGGUUCAUACUACAAAGAUUCACUGAAGAACAAGUUCAGUAUUGACUUAGACACUUCCAGUAAAACAGUGACUCUGAAUGGACAGAAUAUGCAGCCUGAAGAAUCUGCUGUGUAUUACUGUGCAAGAGACACAGUGACACAAACAAGCAGCAGAGCUGUACAAAAACCCCUGAAAAGUUAUAACAAACCCCCAGAGGAGGAGCUCUGA